UACGGAAGGCAGCAGUGGGGAAUAUUGCACAAUGGGCGAAAGCCUGAUGCAGCUAUGCCGCGUGUAUGAAGAAGGCCUUAGGGUUGUAAAGUACUUUCAUCGGGGAGGAAAAAACAAAACUAAUAAUUUUAUUUCUUGACGUUACCCGAAAAAGAAGCACCGGCUAACUCCGUGCCAGCAGCCGCGGUAAUACGGAGGGUGCUAGCGUUAAUCAGAAUUACUGGGCGUAAAGAGCACGUAGGUGGUUUUUUUAAAGUCAGAUGUGAAAUCCCUGGGCUUAACCUAGGAACUGCAUUUUGAAACUGAAAUACUAGAGUAUCGUAGAGGGAGGUAGAAUUCUAGGUGUAGCGGUGAAAUGCGUAGAUAUCUGGAGGAAUACCUGUGGCGAAAGCGGCCUCCUAAACGAAUACUGACACUGAGGUGCGAAAGCGUGGGGAGCAAAACAGGGAUUAGAUACCCGU
rnacentral:rRNA from 1 species